UACGUAGGGGGCAAGCGUUGUCCGGAAUCAUUGGGCGUAAAGCGCGUGUAGGCGGCUCGGUAAGUCUGCUGUGAAAGUCCAGGGCUCAACCCUGGGAUGCCGGUGGAUACUGUCGAGCUCGAGUCCGGAAGAGGCGAGUGGAAUUCCUGGUGUAGCGGUGAAAUGCGCAGAUAUCAGGAGGAAUACCGGUGGCGAAAGCGGACUCUCUGGACGGUAACUGACGCUGAGGCACGAAAGCGUGGGGAGCAAACAGG
rnacentral:rRNA from 1 species